rnacentral:RNase_P_RNA from 1 species
GAAGUGGGCUGGACGGUCGCUGCUGUGAAAGUCUCCGUGACUGAAACAGGGGAGGAAAGUCCGGGCUUCAUAGGGCAGGGUGCCAGGUAACGCCUGGGCGGUGUAAACCGACGGCAAGUGCAGCAGAGAGUAGACCGCCUCAUUCGUGAGGUAAGGGUGAAAGGGUGCGGUAAGAGCGCACCGCGUGUCUGGUAACAGUUCACGGCAAGGUAAACCCCACCAGAAGCAAGACCAAAUAGGAAUCCUGAGGCACGGCCCGUGCUGGAUUCGGGUAGGUCGCUUGAGCGUACGAGUGAUUGUACGCCUAGAGGAAUGAUCGUCCUCGACAGAACCCGGCUUACAGGCCCACUUCCCAG